rnacentral:sRNA from 12 species
AUCUGAAUAUCAUCAUAAGUCAAUCCCUAUGCACAAGCCUCUGGCAGAGGUUUAGGGGACGUGGCGUGAUUCAGAGCUGCCUCACAUCCUGAUAGGGGUGCUAAGGCAACAAUGCUUCUGGGGCUGUGGCGACAUGGCUUCGGGGAGUGCGUAAUACACUUGGCACAACUGAAGGGCUGCGGGCGGGAAUGGCUUGGGAUGAACGGAAAAGGCAGGACAUUUGGGGCUGGAGUCCUACAAUAGACGCUCCCUGUGGGAGAAUAACCCUUGAAUAUCAUAUCCGUUGCAGGGAUAUGGGAUAGAGGGAAUUGCAGGAAGGACUCCUGUGCGGUUGAGGCUUUGCGAAAGCGGGUCUAUAAAGCCUGAUGUCCGUAUGCUGGCACAAAUCCGUGCAAAGAAUUUAUUUAAUUGGAUUAUAAUAAUAAUUUCUGAAUGCUGUGCUGGCAUUCUGGGUGAAGUUCCCAGACACGCUUGGUCGAAAGAUUCUGCAAGAAGUAUGGCGGGUAGCUCCCCCAUGCUCAGACUUGCGGACGUGGUGGCUGAAAAUGAUUCCGAUUCUGGGCUGGUCUUACGGCGAAGGUCGUGGCUUGUGGUGAUGUUCAG